CAUGAGAGCGGUGGACGGGUGAGUAAUGCCUAGGAAUCUGCCUGGUAGUGGGGGAUAACGCUCGGAAACGGACGCUAAUACCGCAUACGUCCUACGGGAGAAAGCAGGGGACCUUCGGGCCUUGCGCUAUCAGAUGAGCCUAGGUCGGAUUAGCUAGUUGGUGAGGUAAUGGCUCACCAAGGCGACGAUCCGUAACUGGUCUGAGAGGAUGAUCAGUCACACUGGAACUGAGACACGGUCCAGACUCCUACGGGAGGCAGCAGUGGGGAAUAUUGGACAAUGGGCGAAAGCCUGAUCCAGCCAUGCCGCGUGUGUGAAGAAGGUCUUCGGAUUGUAAAGCACUUUAAGUUGGGAGGAAGGGCAGUAAAUUAAUACUUUGCUGUUUUGACGUUACCGACAGAAUAAGCACCGGCUAACUCUGUGCCAGCAGCCGCGGUAAUACAGAGGGUGCAAGCGUUAAUCGGAAUUACUGGGCGUAAAGCGCGCGUAGGUGGUUCGUUAAGUUGGAUGUGAAAUCCCCGGGCUCAACCUGGGAACUGCAUUCAAAACUGUCGAGCUAGAGUAUGGUAGAGGGUGGUGGAAUUUCCUGUGUAGCGGUGAAAUGCGUAGAUAUAGGAAGGAACACCAGUGGCGAAGGCGACCACCUGGAC
rnacentral:rRNA from 1 species